AGUACCCAAGACCUCGUGUCUUCCUUGUCCGAUUCGUCUGUGGAGGCACCCAAAAAAAAAAAAGGAAAGCAAAAGCUUAAAACAUUUUGUAAAUCAACUCCACUGGAGCAGCAGCUAGACUCCGAAGGCCCUUCACACAGCUGUGUUCGGAUUCGGAACACCAAAGGGGUUAUUUUAAGAUAUGUGGCCGCCCUGGAAGCAUUCAGAAGAGGGAAGUCCAUGAAGGCAGCAUUCGAUGCUGUCGGGGUGGACCGAAACACGGUGGCGAGGACUGCCAUUGUGGCAGAACUGCAUCUGGCAGCACCAGAAGUGUUCGAGUCCAUCAGCUGGAAUGAGCGAGUGGAGUCACUCUCCACCUUUAUUGCUAGGUGCCGUUCACUUGUGACACCAGAAAUUAAAGAUAAAAUAAGCAAGAUGAAAACGGAUGGGGACUUGCUCCCGAUGGCCGUCCAUUAAAAUUUCACAUCAAAGACACAUCAAAGUUGUCUGCAGCAGGCUUGCUGUUUUUUUUUUUUUUAAACACCCUUACAAUACUAUAUACUGGGCUAUGUUCAGCCAGUGCUGAUUUAAAUAAAAGGGUUUUCAUCUGUAUCCUGUUGUAUUUACUGUCAGCACUAUUAACAAGUUCAUAAUGCCUUAUCUUCUCUUUUAUCGUAUAAUAAUCUUAUAUCUGUUUAAAACAACAUUACCCUUUUGUCACUUUACUUAAAGCUGACAAAGUACACUUAUAGAAUCUUAUAUCUGUUUAAAACAACACCACCCUUUUGUCACUUUACUUAAAGCUGACAAAGUCCACUUAUAGGAUCUUCUAAAAGUCUAUAAUAUUCUAUGUCUGUAUAGCAGCCUAGUCACCAUACUAAUAACCAUUAAUGAAUAAUCAUAAUAUAUCACAAAGGUGGUUAUGAUGUGCCGUGAAGACCUAUAUACAUAGUUAUAAUGAGUGCCACAAUGACUUAACUAGUUUUUAAAGGUAUUAUGAAUGUUCUUAUAGUGCUUCAUAUAUGCAGGCUUCAUAGGAUUCAUGAUUACCCACACAAACCUAUGAUCACAUUUAUAAUGCAUAAUUUUACCUUAGAUUAUAACCAUUUAUAAUUAACUGACAUAACGUUUCAGAGCAGUGGAUAUGAGUCAUUGUGGAGAUGCUAAACAUAGUUAUAAAGAGUGCUACAAUGACUUAUAGCUACUUUUAAACGUCAUCAUAAAUGUCCCUAUAGGACCUUAUAAAGGCAGGCUUCAUAGCAAGUGUUACCCGACAGUCACAUAUUUAUAAUGCAUUAUUCCGUCUUUAAUUAUAACCAUUCAUAAUGAACUGAUAUAAUGUAUCAUAAAGGUGAUUAUGAGUCAUCAUGAAGACAUUAUACGUAGUUAUAAAGUAGCUAUAAGUCAUUGUAGCAAUCGCUAUAAGUCAUUAUUAAGGCCCUUAUAAUGUCCUUAUAGGGCCUUAUAACGCUGGGCUUCAUAGAAAGUGUUACCACAUUUUUUUUUUGGAUAUCAAUCAUAGGCUCAUAAUUAUCUUUAUGCCAUGUCCUAAAAAAGUGUACGUUUUUUCUUUUCAAAACGCCACCUCAAGCGUUUUAUUAGCCGUUCUCUCUAAUUAUUUUUUGCUGGAGAAGGAGGGGUGUGCAGCUGAAAGGAGUCGUAGUGAAACAAAUGCUGUUAUGACCUGGCAUCAGAGAGGGCCUAGUUCAGUGCUCCGUUAACGUGUCAGAUUUUUCGACUGGUUCAGUAUGGCAUAUUAGUGCCAUAAUUCACUAAUGUGAUAAAACAUGCAUUCGGGCGUAUUAUAUUAUUCCACACGCGUAGAUAUUAACUGCGAGCGCAGUUAAUAUGAGAAAAGGCUGCGCCUAUACUCAUAGAAUCUAGGGUUACAAUACGUAACUAUCGUUUCAGCCAUUUACUGUACAAUUCAGAAUUGAAUGUGAGGAGGGCUGUCAAUCAAAUAUCACGCUUCAGAAACGGCCAAUCAUAGGAAAGCCCGCCCUGCCUUGGUUCCCUCCCCCAAAGUCCCAAAACUAAAUUUGCGCGCGAGAGCAGAACAUCAUUUGCGAGAGGCUGUUACGCGCGAGAGGCUGUUUUGCGCGCGCAGAGGUAACUUGCUCGAUCGCAAUUAAUAUCUACGCGUGUGAUAUGAUAUAAUACGCCCGAAUGCAUGUUUUAUCACAUGAGUGCUUUAUGGCACUAAUGUGUCGCCAUAGUUCAGCUGCUGCUCAAUAACUCUCACGGUCCUCUGCUUGCGAUCAUUGUGAUUCACCAUAUAUUGAUCCAUUUAUUCAAAAGAUCCAAAGACAAAGAACAGGUGCAUUACGGUAUCAUUUUAUAUUAUUGUUAAUAGUCUAACAUUUCAGCGUUGGUAUUUAAUUUUCAUUUGCUUGUUUAGCUACCUAUGUAUGACAGUUAACAAUGUUUGUGUAUUACAAUUAUUUAUGUGUGUAGGCCACUCCAACUUCGUUGCUGGUUGAAAUGUAACCAUUUAUUUGUACAUAAGUUAUUGAUUGCAUUUUUCAUAAAUAGUUAGUUGGAGCUUGCAUAACGGAGCACGAGGCAUAGUUUAAUAGUGCAUUACUUUUUGAACAGUAUAUCCGAUCAAUGACCUCUGUAAUUUUUGUACAUUUAAAUGUAUGCCCAUCAAUAACUGAGUUUAGCUUUAUCUAUUAUUGCUUUUAUUUUCUUCCCUUCUUUUCUUAAUGUAAUGUGUAUUUUGUUUUUAAGAUAAAUCAAGAGAAACUCAAACAUAUCUUAUGGUCUCGUAUUUAUGUAAAUGUUUCAUGUAUUUAUAUGUUUUUUACAUGUUGUGACUGUCUGAGUUUGUGAUGCGGGUCUAUGGUCUUGUAGUUAUGUACAUGAUUUAUGUGUUUUUUUCAUGUUGUGACUGUCUGAGUUUGUGAGUCUUUGUUCUAUGUUCCCACUCUUGGCCUGCACCUUGACGUGAAACUGGAAACUUCAGAGUAUAUUUGAUCUUAAGUUAGAAAAUCUCUUAGAUCCCAGUCCAACAUGUUCCUGUACUUGUCUGCCGUGCCACCAUCAUGCCUCAUGCAUCACCUCUCAGCACCCUGCCCAGCUGCAUCUUAUUCCGUUACUCCAGUUCUUUGCAGCUCUUUCACAUAAGUGACAAACACGCUCCACCCAAGUGUUUUUAAUAUUUUAUUAAUUAUGCUUAAGGUGUGCUUAAGUGGCCUGAAAGUUGCCCAUCAAUACAAUUCUUAUAAAUAUAACAUUAUGGCUCCAUCAAAAUCAAAGUACACCUGCCAUUUACAGUUAUCAUUCAUAUUAUCCGAGACAUCUUUAAUCGUAUUUACAGUAGGCCUGAUUUCCUCUGAAUGUUUAAAUAAAAAAAUUCCCUGUCCAUGUCAGAUCCCUGUCCAUCAUACUCCUGUUGUUGUCUUCCUGCACACCUGCCUGCCUCCUCCAUCGAUUGCGGCCACAGCCCUCUCCCUGUACAAUAUUUCCUGUUAAAUACAUUUCAAGUUUGAGAUUCAGUUUCAGUAUUACUUGUUUUUGAAACCUGACGUGGGGCUGGCACCGACACCAUCAUAUCUGUCUUAUUUAUUGCAACCACACAUAAUAGGUCCAUGAUACCAUGUGGGGUCAUUUCAGACUCCUUUGCUUCCUAACACCUUGUGAGUUCCCUGGGUACACCAGCUGAUGGGUCUGUGUAUAUAUUGGGCAUUUGAGUCUCGUUUCAGAAACAGAAAUAUAUUAAAAAACGAGUGGUAAUUAUUAUUUAUGUUCUAACAUUCAAAAAGGUAUAUACAAGGUGCUUUUCUUAUAAAGUCAAAAAGGGGCAAACUAAUCUAAAAUAAUAAUUGUUAAACAAAUAGAGAACCAUUGGGGGAUUACUUGCAUGGUCGGUAAACAAUGCGACUGCUAUC